rnacentral:rRNA from 1 species
GCAGUCUGCAACUCGACUGCAUGAAGCUGGAAUCGCUAGUAAUCGCGAAUCAGCAUGUCGCGGUGAAUACGUUCCCGGGUCUUGUACACACCGCCCGUCACACCAUGGGAGUCGGAAAUGCCCGAAGCCAGUGACCCAACCUUUAAGGAGGGAGCUGUCGAAGGCAGGUCUGGUAACUGGGGUGAAGUCGUAACAAGGUAGC